GAAAUGCGAUAAGUAAUGUGAAUUGCAGAAUUCAGUGAAUCAUCGAAUCUUUGAACGUAACUUGCGCUCCUUGGUAUUCCUUGGAGCAUGCCUGUUUGAGUAUCAUGAAAUCUUCAAAGUAAAUCUUUUGUUAACUCAAUUGGUUUCUACUUUGGUAUUGGAGGUCUUUGCAGCUUCACACCUGCUCCUCUUUGUUCAUUAGCUGGAUCUCAGUGUUAUGCUUGGUUCCACUCGGCGUGAUAAGUUAUCUAUCGCUGAGGACACUGUAAAAGGUGGCCAAGGUAAAUGCAGAUGAACCGCUUCUAAUAGUCCAUUGACUUGGACAAUACUUUUAUGAUCUGAUCUCAAAUCAGGUAGGACUACCCGCUGAACUUAAGC
rnacentral:misc_RNA from 1 species